rnacentral:rRNA from 1 species
GAUGAACGCUGGCGGCGUGCCUAAUACAUGCCAGUCGAGCGAACAGACGAGGAGCUUGCUCCUCUGACGUUAGCGGCGGACGGGUGAGUAACGCGUGGAUAACCUACCUAUAAGACUGGGAUAACUUCGGGAAACCGGAGCUAAUACCGGAUAAUAUAUUGAACCGCAUGGUUCAAUAGUGAAAGACGGUUUUGCUGUCACUUAUAGAUGGAUCCGCGCCGCAUUAGCUAGUUGGUAAGGUAACGGCUUACCAAGGCAACGAUGCGUAGCCGACCUGAGAGGGUGAUCGGCCACACCGGAACUGAGACACGGUCCAGACUCCUACGGGAGGCAGCAGUAGGGAAUCUUCCGCAAUGGGCGAAAGCCUGACGGAGCAACGCCGCGUGAGUGAUGAAGGUCUUCGGAUCGUAAAACUCUGUUAUUAGGGAAGAACAAAUGUGUAAGUAACUAUGCACGUCUUGACGGUACCUAAUCAGAAAGCCACGGCUAACUACGUG